rnacentral:rRNA from 1 species
AUUGAACGCUGGCGGCAGGCCUAACACAUGCAAGUCGAGCGAGCGGCGGACGGGUGAGUAAUGUCUGGGAAAAUGCCUGAUGGAGGGGGAUAACUACUGGAAACGGUAGCUAAUACCGCAUACCAUCAGAUGUGCCCAGAUGGGAUUAGCUAGUAGGUGGGGUGACGGCUCACCUAGGCGACGAGCCCUAGCUGGUCUGCGAGUAUGACCAGCCACACUGGAACGGUGACACGGUCCGAACUCCUAGGGGAGGCAGGAGUGGGGAAUAUUGCGCAAUGGGCGCAUGCCUGAUGCAGCCAUGCCGCGUGUGUGAAGAGGGCCUGCGGGUUUUAAAGCACUUUCAUCGGUGAGGCGUUACCCGCAGAAGAAGCACCGGCUAACUCCGUGCCAGCAGCCGCGGUAAUUC